AGAGUUUGAUCAUGGCUCAGAAUGAACGCUGGCGGCGUGCUUAACACAUGCAAGUCGAACGAUGAACCUUAGCUUGCUAAGGGGAUUAGUGGCGCACGGGUGAGUAACAUAUAGAUAACGUACCUCUUAGUCUGGGAUAGCCAUUGGAAACGAUGAUUAAUACUAGAUACUCCUUCUGAUUCUAAUUUCAGUCGGGAAAGUUUUUCGCUAAGAGAUCGGUCUAUAUCCUAUCAGUUAGUUGGUGAGGUAAUGGCUCACCAAGGCAAUGACAGGUAGCGGGUUUGAGAGGAUGAUCCGCCACACUGGUACUGAGACACGGCCCAGACUCCUACGGGAGGCAGCAGUGGGGAAUCUUAGACAAUGGGCGCAAGCCUGAUCUAGCCAUGCCGCGUGUGUGAUGAAGGUCUUAGGAUCGUAAAGCACUUUCGCCAGGGAUGAUAAUGACCAGUACCUGGUAAAGAAACCCCGGCUAACUCCGUGCCAGCAGCCGCGGUAAUACGGAGGGGGUUAGCGUUGUUCGGAAUUACUGGGCGUAAAGCGUACGUAGGCGGAUCAGAAAGUAGGGGGUGAAACCCCCAGGGCUCAACCCUGGAACUGCCUCCUAAACUCCUGGUCUUGAGUUCGAGAGAGGUGAGUGGAAUUCCAAGUGUAGAGGUGAAAUUCGUAGAUAUUUGGAGGAACCACCAGUGGCGAAGGCGGCUCACUGGCUCGAUACUGACGCUGAGGUACGAAAGUGUGGGGAGCAAACAGGAUUAGAUACCCUGGUAGUCCACACCGUAAACGAUGAAUGCCAGUCGUCGGGCAGUAUACUGUUCGGUGACACACCUAACGGAUUAAGCAUUCCGCCUGGGGAGUACGGUCGCAAGAUUAAAACUCAAUUGAAUUGACGG
rnacentral:rRNA from 1 species